rnacentral:rRNA from 1 species
UCGAGGAUCUUCGGCAAUGGGCGCAAGCCUGACCGAGCGAGGCCGCGUGGGCGAUGAAGGCCUUCGGGUUGUAAAGCCCUGUCGAGAGGGAGAAAACCGCAAGGUUGAUCUAUCUCUGGAGGAAGCACGGGCUAAGUUCGUGCCAGCAGCCGCGGUAAGACGAACCGUGCGAACGUUGUUCGGAAUCACUGGGCUUAAAGGGCGCGUAGGCGGGCCGCCAAGUCCGGGGUGAAAUCCUCCAGCUCAACUGGAGAACUGCCUCGGAUACUGGAGGUCUAGAGGGAGACAGGGGCACGCGGAACUGUGGGUGGAGCGGUGAAAUGCGUUGAUAUCCAUAGGAACUCCGGUGGCGAAGGCGGCGUGCUGGAUCUCUUCUGACGCUGAGGCGCGAAAGCCAGGGGAUCAAACGGGAUUAGAUACCCGCGUAGUCC